rnacentral:lncRNA from 1 species
GCCUACUCUCUCAAAUAAGAGAUCUAUUGCAGUACUUAAGGGUCGAAUUCCACAAAGUUCUUUUGUUCACACAAUAAGUUAUAAGUCUCGAAAUUAGGCUAAACAAAAUAAUUAAAAUUAAAAUAAAACAAUAGCAAGCAAUGAUUAUCGGGUGAAAAGAUCAAUGGAUUAAAGCGUCAGGUUUAGGGAAAUUCUCAGGAAAUAAACUAUUAGUAAAUCUAGCAAGUUAAUUAGGAUUCUUUAAUGAACCGUUCUUGAACUCAAAUCACUAAUGAAUAGCUAAC